ACGGGCGGUGUGUGCAAGGAGCAGGGACGUAUUCACCGCGCGAUAAUGACACGCAGUUACUAGGGAUUCCAUAUUCGUGAGGGCGAGUUGCAGCCCUCAGUCAUAACUGUGGUAACGUUUCUGGAUUACCUCCUCCUUUCGGAUUCGGAACACAUUGUCGUUACCAUUGCAGCCCGCGUGUGGCCCCAGAGUUUCGGGGCAUACUGACCUGCCGUGGCCCCUUCCUUCCUCCGUAUUAACUACGGCGGUCCCGCUAAUUCGCCCCACUACUCCUGAGAGUAAUGGUGGCAACUAGAGGCAGGGAUCUCGCUCGUUACCUGACUUAACAGGACAUCCCACGGCACGAGCUGGCGACGGCCAUGCACCACUUCUCAGCUUGUCUGGUAAAGUCUCCAGCUUGACCUUCAUUCUGCUGUCUCCUCGGGUAAGAUUUCUGGCGUUGACUCCAAUUGAACCGCAGGCUUCACCCCUUGUGGUGCUCCCCCGCCAAUUCCUUUAAGUUUCAUACUUGCGUACGUACUUCCCAGGCGGCAAACUUAACGGCUUCCCUGCGGCACUGCACUGGCCACAAGCCAGGGCAUCACCGAGUCUGCAUCGUUUACAGCUGGGACUACCCGGGUAUCUAAUCCGGUUUGCUCCCCCAGCUUUCAUCCCUCACCGUCGAACGUGUUCUGGUAGACCGCCUUCGCCACAGGUGGUCAUCAAUAGAUCAAAGGAUUUUACCCCUUCCUACCGAGUACCGUCUACCUCUCCCACUCCCUAGCUUUGCAGUUUUU
rnacentral:rRNA from 1 species